UACGUAGGGGGCAAGCGUUACUCGGAAUUACUGGGCGUAAAGGGCGAGUAGGCGGUUGAGCAAGUCAAGGAUGAAAGCCCGGGGCCUAACUUCGGAAUUGUAUUUGAAACUGCUCAGCUUGAGGAUAGUUGAGGAGAGUGGAAUUCCCGGUGUAGCGAUGAAAUGCGUAGAUAUCGGGAGGAACACCUGAGGCGAAGGCGGCUCUCUAAGCUAUUCCUGACGCUGAAUCACGAAAGCUAGGGGAUCAAACGGG
rnacentral:rRNA from 1 species